AUCGAACGAACUCUUCGGAGUUAGUGGCGGACGGGUGAGUAACACGUGGGAACGUGCCUUUUGGUUCGGAAUAACUCAGGGAAACUUGUGCUAAUACCGAAUGUGCCCUUCGGGGGAAAGAUUUAUCGCCAUUAGAGCGGCCCGCGUCUGAUUAGCUAGUUGGUGAGGUAAAGGCUCACCAAGGCGACGAUCAGUAGCUGGUCUGAGAGGAUGAUCAGCCACAUUGGGACUGAGACACGGCCCAAACUCCUACGGGAGGCAGCAGUGGGGAAUCUUGCGCAAUGGGCGAAAGCCUGACGCAGCCAUGCCGCGUGAAUGAUGAAGGUCUUAGGAUUGUAAAAUUCUUUCACCGGGGACGAUAAUGACGGUACCCGGAGAAGAAGCCCCGGCUAACUUCGUGCCAGCAGCCGCGGUAAUACGAAGGGGGCUAGCGUUGCUCGGAAUUACUGGGCGUAAAGGGAGCGUAGGCGGACAUUUAAGUCAGGGGUGAAAUCCCGGGGCUCAACCUCGGAAUUGCCUUUGAUACUGGGUGUCUUGAGUAUGAGAGAGGUGUGUGGAACUCCGAGUGUAGAGGUGAAAUUCGUAGAUAUUCGGAAGAACACCAGUGGCGAAGGCGACACACUGGCUCAUUACUGACGCUGAGGCUCGAAAGCGUGGGGAGCAAACAGGAUUAGAUACCCUGGUAGUCCACGCCGUAAACGAUGAUUGCUAGUUGUCG
rnacentral:rRNA from 1 species